CCCACUGUCUCUGAAAUAGGCUCCCUUUUCCCUGAAGUUUUGGUGCCAGCUGACUUCCAGGUGAAAGAACCUUUGCUUCUACCUGAAUGAGAAGACACCCCUGGGCAAGGAGUACAUUCUCUCCCUGGGGAGAAUCUCGUACGCGUCCUUGGAGCCCUGAGCCAACAUACAAGAAAUCCAGCAACAUAUAAGACAUCAAGCUGUCCUGCUGGAAAGACUGCGUGGACGUAGAGAAAGAUGCUCUAAGGCCCCACCCAUUCCGGCCUUCCGCUGCCUGAGACUUCCCAGUCCAGACCUCUGAUAUAAGUGUGCAAAUUCCUGUGGACCAAAAAUAUUGCCAGCCAUAUCAGUAAACAAAGGAUGCUGUGGCCAUUCAAAUCAUCAGCCAUCACCGCCACCCCUUACGGUGAGCAGAAGGAACUCGGGAUGCAGACAAGCAGGCAGCCUGGCCUCUUCCGCGACCCCCAGUGGUGCCCCCUGAGGGAACUCAGGAUGGGAAAGCACAGGACACUGGCCCUAGAUUGCUAGGUGUGUGUUAAAGGAAUAAUUUCCACCUUUUCACCUUCCCUUACAUGGAAAAGCGCUAAAUUCCUUAACUUGAGAUGUCUGCUUUUCUUUAAUUAGCUGUAAUCUUUCGAUGUUCCGACUACCUGGUUUUUGUUGCAAAAGCCCAUACAUCCUGGCUUCUACCUUGCCACCGUGCCACAGUCCAUCAGCGCAAUCUGAGAGGCUGGCAUCCCAGGCUUAAGUCCUCAGAGAUGUCCGCCGAAUAAAACACAGCUUUCCGCUUUUAGGUUGUGCCCUUUAUUUCUGAUGACAUCCAGUGGGUUCUUGCCUUGCCAGUUCCAUUCCUCAAUGUGCACAGCUUUGGUUUACUUUGGGUACUGUAAGGUGGACCAUCUGCCCGCCCUCCAGAGCGUGUCAUGUAUCUUUUGCUUUCCUCCUAUUCAGAUGCCCUUUUUAGGUCUUGAAGUCAGCACACCUGAUUUUGAUGUGAACUCCUAGCAGUCGGGCCCUGUCUGAAAUAAAGGCUCACAUUUUUGUCUGGAAAACAGUGGACGUAUUCUGACUUGAUUAGGAAGACUGAGUGCGAAUAGAUAACAGACUACCCUUCCGUGGCUAUAAACAUGGAAUCUGGGAGAGUUCUGGAUAGCUCCUCUCCAGUUUCCGUAUCUUGCGUAUGAAAUAGACGCCCAAAGAAGAGGGGAGGCCCUCAAAGGCACUUGAAUCUCUGGCACCAGCAACGGAGCUGGACCCUGGAGGGGCCUUAAGACGUGUGUAAGGGGGACCAGCCCAGGGACGCCCAGCUCAGACCCGGAAAGAAAACCCACUUCCCAGAUUGCUCCGGCUGGCCCUUCUGUCCAUCCUGUGGGCUUUGACCUUAACAGAUGCACGCAUCUGUCACAGACACAGAUUCUUUUGGGGCCCCAAAAAGACCUUUGGUCAGUGUUCCUGAGGAAACAACACUCCGACUUAUUGGGGUCUCUCCAUUUAGGGUGUGUCUGGGCUUUUGCACUGCCGAAGGCAAAGCGCUGGUGAAGCUGCACCCAAUGCCAGGUUCCUUCCUGAGGCUCAUGGGGCCCCGUCUCCUCUGUCUCCACCUCCAGGGCCAGAUGGCCUGAAACAAAGACCUCUGAAUAGCUCUUCUCUCCGGUCACCCGGGCCCCUGGAUUUCCCUUUUAAUUUCUUUUUAAAAUACCCACUUCCCUAAGGGUGCCUGUUCCUGAAACAGACACCUAGUGAGGCGGUGGAGCAGGUGUCACAUCCCCAGGUGCUAUCUCAUUCUUUUGAUCGCUCCCUAUUGUUUUUUCUCCCACUCUCCCAGCUUGCGGUCCUGGCUGCACCUGGGGUGGACUGGUUUGCAUUCACCUGGCUUAUCUCCAUCCGGGUCUAUUCAUCCCCCCUACUUCCUCACCACUGGGCUUCUUUCUCCGCAUCCCCUGAUCAUCUUUCUUUGACACAAUUGACCUUGAAAGGCCUCUCGGGGUUUCUAGGGCUGAGCCAAAAUGCCCGGGGAGACGUGUGGCCGUGGGAGAUCCCGGGGCAGUGUGGGGAAGGGAGCGGGGGCACAGGAGGAAGCUGGCUCUUCCAGCCCGGCUUAUGAGCCUGGGCAGUGGACCAGCUCCCUCUGACCAACGUGCGGGAGACCAUCAGCAAACAUGCUGCCCUUCCCGUUCCCACUUAAAUGUCUCCCCUUGGGGAGAAGAUUACUUGCAGAGAGAGCACAAAGUAGGUGGGCUUUAGGAAACAGUUGAAUUGUGAAGAAUAUUAAUUGAAGAGGGUGUGAAAAAUCAGGACCGCUAAUAUGAAUGAGGCAGCUUACCGUGGGGGCCGGGUGGAGGGACCAGCCCAGCCUCCACGCAGGGGGGUCGGGGUGGCAACCGAGGGGGCAACAAGAUUGAGGGCUGGCGCUCAGAGGCAGAGGGUGUAAGGUUUGAGUCCUGGACUCAGAACCAGGUCCAUGAAUAGCAAUCAUGGGGUAGGGUACCUCUGUCACCUGGCGCCCGGUGUGUAUGACAGGGAUGGGGCACUUGGCUAAAGGAGCUGAGUGGACUUCCCUCUCCCUCAUCACCCACCUGAGUCCAUCCUGUCCAGGUACUAGGAGAAAGGCAGGUACCCGUGGUCCGAGGAGCUGGGUCCGGGUAAGGUGCAUGGCUUUGGCUUUUGUGGGCAAGCUCUCCCCAGUUCAGCCUCAGACAGACUGACCUGAGGCACUGGAGGAAGCCGGGAGACUAAAGGUGGGAGGCCCGCGUAUUGCUGUAGCCACUUCACUUCAAGGACUUUGUCUCAUCCUCUGUGCGCGAUCAGUCCCGUCUUUUCACAGUCCUGUCUUCUACGAAACUUUCAGCCUUUAGAGCAGCACUAUCAUCAGAAUCAAUGGGCACAGAAUGUUUAUUUCAGCCAAGCCUGCACUGAGCGCUUACUGUAUGCACGCCGCGCAGAGUAAGCCCCCUCGGGGUGGGGAGGCGCCUGGGGGAGACUUGGGAUUCCGCUCUGCCGUUAGAGGGGUCUGAGCCCCUGGGUCCCGCCUCCCCACCAGGCACGCGACAGACCUUGGCUGAGCGGGGUGUCAGCUGAGGGCCCCGCGCUUCCUGCCGGAGCACCGUGAUUGGGCAGCCUCCAGAGGAGUCCGGGUGGAGAAGCUGGGUAAAGAGUGCUGCAGCGUGUAUCCCCGGCACCUGGAGGCGCCCGGGGGUGCUGGCACCCUGGCCAGCUUUGCAGCUGGUCCUCCAGCCCGUCCACCCCAGCCCGGCCACAGCGCACCCUCGGCCCGGGCCUGGGACACCCUGGCUUUGAGGAAACGCACCUCUCUGAGCAGCUCUGACGGCUUUCUAUUUUUAUGCCUCUCCAGGUCCUUCUUCUCCAGGGCAACCACACACACAGCGCUGCUCUGCAGUUUAUUUUCGUGCUGCAGAGAAGCGCCUUCCCUCCGCUUCCCAGCUUGGCAUCGGCGGCCUGGCCGUGUUGGUCUUGGAUGGUCCCCGCGGCCUCAGUCUCAGAGCUGGCAUGGCCUUGUUAUGCCAGCUGGGGAAGGACAACACACCUAGGGGGGUGCUAGGCCGGGCCUGGGGGUGGCUGGGCAGGGGUCCUAAUGCCUGGAGGGCGACACGGGCUGCCAGCAUGACUUCAUCCCUUCAUCUCCCUGGGCUGUCCGGGCUCCGCGGAGGCGCUGGGGUGUUUGUGCAGCGGCCCGGGCCCUGGGGGAGUGACGCCCGUCUUACCUGGGGUCGCCCUCCCUGGCCUCCAGGUGGAGUCUGUACUCCAGGUUAGGCCUUGCCCCGGUGUCUGGCUUACAGAAUAUUCACGCUGCUGUCUCUUCUUCUCACUUAAUGUUUGGACCAGGUAUUGUUUCAAACAAGAAAACUGAAAAACAGAUGGGUUGUGGUUUCCCGGCUUCGCGUCUCCAACGACAUGAUAGAAACCAGGAGUCAACCCGUUGGAUGCUCUGGGACCUGACUCUGCACUUCUUAUGUUGGCAAAGUCCGCGCUGAAGCUGCCAGCCGGGGGCGGCGGGGGCGGAACUGAGGCUCCCCGCCAGAAGCGUGCCUCCCUUCCUCCCAACGCCACUGUCACUUCAGCCAGAGGACCCGGGACGGGGGCUGAUUAAGCCUCACGUGCUGGCUCCUGCCUGGAAGAUGCUGACCCACUGUCUGGAAGAGGCCCCUGGCAUUGUUUUUCCGGGGGUGAUGAUAGGAGGUGCUCAGUCACCAGUGGUCUCUGCCCUCAUCACCCCAGGAGCCCAGGUCCUCUUUGGAAUUGGGGGUUCAGCAGUGUGUGACUCAGGACCCCACCUCUCUCCGUGCAGAGUGACCGUUUGAAGGGUCGCGUCUGCAUCCCACACCUCAUCGUCCCCUUGGAAGGAAGGAACAAAUUGUUCCCAGCGGGCCGCUCAGCUAAAUGUGACGUCAAGGAACAGGCGACAUGGGUCGGACCUUGGAGACCAAGCUCUGCUCUCUCUCAUCACCUAAACGAGGGAUCUGAGUAGAAUGUAAGUCUCGUGGACACAAGAAAAGGUAUUUGGAGAAAACAUAGUGAAUACUGGCUGUGGACACGCUCACAAUAAGAAAACCUUUUCAGAGUGGCCCAGGAUUGCCAGGGGCCAGGUCGUCUGGGGCCAGUGUGAGGCCCCCUCUCCUGUGGGUGCGUGGAGUCUGCAGGCAAGAUGUUCUGGGAUGUGGGCCCCAACGUGUGCCCCAUGGAGCACUUGUCCUUGGAAGUCAUUUCUAUUGGGGAAGGGUUCCCUGAUCAAAUGAGAUUCAAAGCUGCUACGUUCUCCGCUUGGAGAGUCACAAUAUACAUUACUGACUCAAAAACAUACACUUGAGAAAACUUUUAACUCAAUUUAACCCUGUGUUUCCCAACUUUGAAGACAGAAUGCUAAUUUUGCAAAACGUCUGUGGAGCACAUUUUGGGGACAGCUGCUUUCCUGGAAGACGGCUCACGAUGCCUGCAGUUGGCAGGAUCUCCUGGUCGAGCUGGGAAGUUAAUAUUCCUCAGGGAUCAUGACCUCGCUUCAUCUGAAUGGAUGAGUGGUCCGGGCCGGCUCAGGACUGAGUUGGCAGCUCUCUCCUGCGUACUAGAAAUUUGAUGUUGCCUCCUCAAGAGGGAUAGGGAGGGGAGAACCCUUGCCUUUAAAAAUUAACUUUCUCACAGUGACAGUGAAAGCUUUAGGGCUCCGGAAGUCAUUCUCUCAUGCUCUAAGACUAAAAGGUUAGUCCCGCUCACCUGUUUUCCAUCAGGGUCUGCUACUCUGGAACGGCCACUUAGGCAGCCUGGGCGGGGACUUGAUUUUAAACAUCUGAGAGUCGGAGACCUCGUCCUCCAUCGGUCCCUUCGGAACACGGGCUCAUGCCUGGACCGGCACCGAUUCUAGGUUUACUGAGUGGAACCCGUACGGCUUAGCUUUGUAUGUGGUCUGGGAACAGAGCGAGUGUAUAGUCCUUAGUCUGGGCCAUUCCUGACUUAUUUUCCAUGUCUUGGGUUUUCAAUGGACAAGAAUUUAUGACCUGAGGUUUGGAAACGCUUAGUCAGAGCCCAGACCUUCCACGGAGUUCCUUCAGGAGCUUCAGCUCUGGACUCAAUGACAAAGAUUUCCUGUCCAGCUCUCCACAUAUUUUCUGGUGGACAUGGUUCCUGUCAGCACACGUCUCUGUGUUCUUGUCUCACCUGCUGUUUUGCUGAUAACCCGUCACGUGACCGCUUUUGACUGUGUUUUCCCUCCUGGCCACAUUUUGUUGUGUUAUAUUCACCCGCAGCCCCACCUGGACCUCCAAACCAGCUUCAAGUCCCUGAUGGAGCAUUCUGUCUGUCCCCUUAUAGUUGCCCUUCGUCUCCAUGAAGAAGUCCUGAAAGCCUGUUCCAAGCAGUGAGACCAAGGCUAACCAUCUCCUCCCGCCCCUCAGCCACCGACCGACUUCACGUCUCCUGCAGAUUUGCCUCCAAAGGGGAGCCAGGUGAAAGAGGAACAGGCCAGACCACGUCGAGUUCUGGGGAGGUUUCAGUUUCCCAGUCUUGAUGAAUUUACUGAGUAAGAAAACGUCCCGUCUGGGCCCAGCUCGGCUGACCCUUCUGUGACACCUCGGGGCUUGACAGCAAACCAAUGAGUCCUGAGGUCAAAGGAGUUCUGGCUUCAAAGGAAAAAUGCGGGGUGUAGGUGCCUUCCCUGGCUGGGGUUCCCUCUCUUGUUACUUUUGAUUGAUUCUUAUACACGGAUGAAGGCAGAAAGUGCCGACCAGUCACCCGUCAUGCCCGCCGCCAGCACACGCUUGUAAUUACCAUGUGGCCGCUCGCUGCCUGUGUGGAGCACAUGUGCUUGACCUGACUUGGCAGCGCCUUCCUUCUGGCUUCUUCCUUGAGGGCAGGUCUUGCAGAAUUUUGUCUACAUAAUGUCAAUUAUUCGGCUGAUCAUUUCCCUGGAGAUUUCCAGCUGAUGCACAUGGCAACAGAACCAGUUCAAAGGUGCAGGGAUGCGCCUGGGUGUAAGAAAUGUCCCCACUUUCGUUUCUUGGAUGAAUGAAGUUUGCACAAAGUGAUGCUCUUCCGGCGUGCAGAAAUGUCUCUGCGCAUCACUUCCCGGGGACCCAGCUGGGGUGGGCUGAGGUGGCGCUUAAAAGGCAUCACCCAAAAGGAGAACUCUGCAGAAACCACAAAGUAAUUUGCAAGGUACAUAUUAAAACAGUUGCUUCAGACGCACCCUCAGCCCUCGCACAUGUUUACACGGUUGGGGAGUUUUGCUUCGUCCAUGAUGAACUCUACGUGUCUCUGUUUGACUUUCUUUUUCCCUGGACCUGUCCUCUCUCCUCCAUUCGCCCUGCUUUCUUCUGCAGAUCACCCAUGUGUGCUGACUAUCUAGAUAGCCCCGAGGAAACAGACACAGAAACCCGCCCGGAAAGAGUGUGAACACUGAAGAAUGAUGCUGAAAUCAAACACAGGAGAAGCUCAAGACACCUGCUGAGUAAGCUAGAGCCUGCAGCCUAGACGCCGGUCAGACCAGGUUUCCUGGAGCUUUGCUCUGAGACCACGUGCGGGGAGUUUUCAGCCUCCUCUUCGGAUUCCUGCUGCUUCUCCUCGGGCCUGAGAAGAAGGAGGUUAUGGCUUGUCGGGAGGUUUCACCUGAAAGCGUGUCGGGGUGGCCCACUGGCGCGGGGCACCAGCAGCUUCCAGCACCUCCCGUGUGGACACGUGUGACCGUCCGGAAGGCUCAGCCCCUGCCACAGGCUUAACCAAGGACUCCAGACGGAUGGAGAGCCCCAGGGUCCGACCACCACGGACACAGCCGGGACUGGCCUGGGCUGCUGGCCGAGCUUUAGCCCUUGGUGGACGUCAUCGGGCACCCCGCCCAGGGGCAGAGCCACCUCAGACCGAUUAGCCAGGUCAGACUGCUCCUGCCAGAAAAAGCCUGCCUUCACUGUGAGCCCUGGAUCAGGCUUCCGGGCCUCUCGUGACAGUGUCUCAGGUCAGAACCCUGACUCUCAUGUCGGCAUAAGUAGCCUUCGUCCGACCUUGUCGCCUGGUCAGUGAGGCGUCUCCACCUCCGGCAUUUCCUGAGGACAUGUCGCUCUGACCUGGUCGGGGGCGCCCCGGAAGGAGAGAAGAGCGUCUGCUUAGAGGAGGGUGAGCGUCCGAGGUGAAGCCACCCCACGCCCCCCGGCUGCAGCCUCCUGAACCCCGCACGCAGACCGAUGGACCAGCCUCGGGGAAGUCCUGUCGGGGAGCAGGGCUCUCCCCUCCGCUGCCUCAUUUGCCUUCUACUGCUGAUCCUUUCAAGAUUUCUUGGUUAACGAAGCAAAGCCCUUGUCUUCUGGGACGCAGGCUCAUUUCUCAAUUUCUGGGGAAAGCGCUUCGUGGGAAACUGAGGGAUGGAGAGAGGAUGCAGGAGAGUGAGGCUGGAUCACACCUGGAGGCUGAGAGGUCCCCUCCAUCCUUGCCAUCCCAGACGGGUGAGUGAGGCCCCCCCAGAUCACCCAGCACUGCUGAGCCAGCCCCGCUGAGCCAGCCCCAGACCGAGCUGCCUGGCCCACCCAAGCCCUGUGGGAGAUGGUAGCCACCAGGCUUGAAUCUCAUCUACCGAGUAACGGAUCUGACUGACAAUCAGCGAGGCCAGUGAGUCAGACUGAACAGAGGUGGCUGGACUCUCCACAGCUCGUCCCCUGCUUUGGAGCGGAGGGAAAUUUAAAAGGAGAGGGUUGUUAAAAGCACAGCUUUGGAGCCAUUUGGACCAAGUGGCUGUUGAGUUCCUCCUCUAUAGACGGUGGCCAUCUGCACAGCCAGGAAACGCCUCCUCCGCCCUGGACGGCCGCACCGACCGUCGACCGUCAAAGGGAACGUAAGAGAGUGGUGUUUGAGAACGCAGCUGCUCUGGACUCUCGAUU